UGGUGAGUGGUUCUGAAAAGAUUGCAAUGCAUGUUUUGGAGAAGCUAAUUGCUUAUGGUGCUCUUCCCAUUUCCGUAUCAGAUUCUAAAGGAUAUUUGGUUGAUGAGGAUGGAUUUGACUACAUGAAAAAUACAAUUUCUGAGAGACAUCAAAGCUCAACAGAGAAGUUUGAGAGACUAUUCAAAGACAUAUGCUCGGUCUAAAUACUAUGAUGAAUCAAAACCCUGGAAUGAAAGGUGUGAUCUUGCAUUUGCACGUGCUUCACAGAAUGAAAUUAAUCAAUCCGAUGCCAUGAAUUUUGUUAAUUUAGGUUGUCGUAUACUAGUAGAAGGUAGUUGUUUUUAUAAUAUAUUUUUGGGUCUUUACCCUCUUUUUCUCAUUCUCAUAUGUAAUGUAAUAUUAUUAAUAAUAUAUACUCAUGGAGCCACUUGUUGUACUAGGUUGAAACAUGAUUUGUACCCCGGAGGCAAUUCAAGUUCUACGGAAAGCUAAUAUUCUUGUUGCUCCUGCAAUGGCAGCUGGAGCUAGAGGGGUUGUGGCUGGAGAACUUGAAUUGAAUCAUGAAUGCAGUUUGAUGCACUGGUCACCUGAGGACUUUGAAUCUAAAUUGUAGGUGUUUCUUUUAAGUUCUUUUCAUACAAAUCAUGUACUUUUCUUCUUAAUGUGAUAUAUAAUGUUUAUUUUAAUCUAAUAUUUUGGGUAUACUAAUCGAAUUAAACUCUAUAUUCUCUGAUUUUAUU